GGUGCGUUUGCCGUGCUGUGAGUCCGGGGCGCUCAUCCCUGCAUGUGGAGGCUUCUGGGACCCUGCCUGGGAUGACUUUUUUUUUCUUAAAUUUUUACAGAAACGAGUAUCUUAUAUUUCAGAAGAUCAUUAAGUUGGAAUAUGACUUUCCAGAAAAAUUCUUCCCUAAGGCAAGAGACCUCGUGGAGAAACUUUUGGUUUUAGAUGCCACAAAGCGGUUAGGCUGUGAGGAAAUGGAAGGGUACGGACCUCUUAAAGCACACCCGUUCUUCGAGUCCGUCACGUGGGAGAACCUGCACCAGCAGACGCCUCCGAAGCUCACCGCUUACCUGCCGGCUAUGUCGGAAGACGACGAGGACUGCUAUGGCAAUGAUCCCAGAGGAACCCACAUAUGGGACAUGGCAGCUCAGGACAACACCCAGCCACCUACGUGGGACAGGGCCACGCAGGAUAGAGACAAGGAGACGAGGGCCUCAGAGACACAGGCUUCCCGGCCCCGCAUGGGUCCCGCACAGCCCCCUUCUCCAGCACCGAGGACGGGCAGACUGAGAUAAUACGAAGCCUCGACUCGAGCGGCUCCACGACAGAACACAAGCGGCUGCCCAGAGAGAGUACAUGUGAAAGACAUUCCCUGCCAAAGAGACAGGAGUGGGCAUCAUGGCUCACAGCCUCAGAGCAGGGCCAGGGCUGGGCCACAGCCCCCGUCACUCCACACCCCGCGUGAACUCGGAGGAGGCAGGCAGAUGCCGAGGCCCACAGGCCCAGAACAGAAACGGAGUCAGACGUUGCCCAGUGCAGACCGAUGCGCAGACACGGACCUGGGGGAGCAGGGCCACACCCGCACGCAGGUACCCAGAAACCCUCAGCCUUCACGGCGAGGCCUCGGGCUGUUCUGAGCCAAGCCAGCACCGCAGCACACAGGCAGGCCAGCCUGGGCCCAACGCGUGUGGGCGCCGUCCCUGCACCACGACCACUCAGAAUGGAACACGGCAGCUGGCAGCAGCAGGCACAGUCCAGGUGAUGGCACAGA
rnacentral:lncRNA from 1 species